rnacentral:rRNA from 1 species
UACGUAGGGGGCAAGCGUUGUCCGGAUUCAUUGGGCGUAAAGAGCGUGUAGGCGGCCAGAUAGGUCAGCUGUGAAAACUCGAGGCUCAACCUCGAGACGUCGGUUGAAACCAUCUGGCUAGAGUCCGGAAGAGGAGUGUGGAAUUCCCGGUGUAGCGGUGAAAUGCGCAGAUAUCGGGAAGAACACCCGUGGCGAAGGCGGCACUCUCGGGACGGUACUGACGCUGAGACGCGAAA